rnacentral:rRNA from 1 species
UACGUAGGGGGCAAGCGUUAUCCGGAUUUACUGGGUGUAAAGGGGGCGCAGGCGGGAAGCCAAGUCAGCUGUGAAAACUACGGGCUUAACUUGUAGACUGCAGUUGAAACUGGUUUUCUUGAGUGAAGUAGAGGUUGGCGGAAUUCCGAGUGUAGCGGUGAAAUGCGUAGAUAUUCGGAGGAACACCGGUGGCGAAGGCGGCCAACUGGGCUUUAACUGACGCUGAGGCUCGAAAGUGUGGGGAGCAAACAGG